UACGAAGGGGGCUAGCGUUGUUCGGAAUCACUGGGCGUAAAGGGCGCGUAGGCGGCCUGAUAAGUCGGGGGUGAAAGCCUGUGGCUCAACCACAGAAUUGCCUUCGAUACUGUUGAGGCUUGAGACCGGAAGAGGUAAGUGGAACUGCGAGUGUAGAGGUGAAAUUCGUAGAUAUUCGCAAGAACACCAGUGGCGAAGGCGGCUUACUGGACCGGUUCUGACGCGUGAGGCGGCGAAAAGCGUGGGGAGCAAACAGG
rnacentral:rRNA from 1 species